UGUCAUAACCAUUGUCCACCAAAGAGCAGCACUGAGCAGAAAUAACACGGCUCCUGUUCAUUCUCCAUCAGUGAGGGGCCGGUGCUGGACACUGUGUAGGGACGCGGGAAUGCAAAGUCAUACACAUGACUGUGACUGAUGCAGUAUCUCCAGGACAUGGAGUAGCAUUUCCGGACCUACAGCAAGACGUUGGAUGAAGGCAUAGCCCCAGAAAUAACACUGGUCCUGUUCAUCAGUGAGGGGCCGGUGCUGGACACUGUGUAGGGACGCGGGAAUGCAAAGUCAUGCACAUGACUGUGACUGAUGCAGUAUCUCCAGGACAUGGAGUAGCAUUUCCGGACCUACAGCAAGACGUUGGAUGAAGGCACAGGCCUAGGAAUCAUGCACAUACACAGAAACAUUUGCCCAAAUUCUAGAGGUAACCUCCUUUAGUAUGCCCAGAGGAAGGGCCAUACAGUAGCCAUGGAUUCCCUACAGGUUUCCUCCCCUCUGGAGGUUUUUCCUGUCCUGAGUAUUAGUUACUGUACGCUCUUUGUGAGUGAUGGGAGGUUACAAAAGAUCCCCUACACAAACAUUUUAAUAAAUAAUAAAUAAAGUUCCCCCUUUUUUUAAA